AGCCCCAUAGUAUAGUGGUCAAGUAUACGAGACUCUGGCUCUCGUGACCCAGGUUCGAAUCCUGGUGGGGCUA
rnacentral:tRNA from 1 species